UACGUAGGGGGCAAGCGUUGUUCGGAAUUAUUGGGCGUAAAGCGCUUGUAGGCGGCACGUCAAGUCGCGUGUGAAAUCCCCAGGCUUAACCUGGGAAGUGCGCGCGAAACUGACGAGCUUGAGUGCCGGAGAGGGUCGCGGAAUUCCCGGUGUAGAGGUGAAAUUCGUAGAUAUCGGGAGGAACACCAGUGGCGAAGGCGGCGACCUGGACGGACACUGACGCUGAGACGCGAAAGCGUGGGGAGCAAACAGG
rnacentral:rRNA from 1 species